rnacentral:rRNA from 1 species
UAGGGAAUCUUCCGCAAUGGGCGAAAGCCUGACGGAGCAACGCCGCGUGAGUGAUGAAGGUCUUCGGAUCGUAAAACUCUGUUAUUAGGGAAGAACAAAUGUGUAAGUAACUAUGCACGUCUUGACGGUACCUAAUCAGAAAGCCACGGCUAACUACGUGCCAGCAGCCGCGGUAAUACGUAGGUGGCAAGCGUUAUCCGGAAUUAUUGGGCGUAAAGCGCGCGUAGGCGGUUUUUUAAGUCUGAUGUGAAAGCCCCCGGCUCAACCGUGGAGGGGCAUUGGAAACUGGAAAACGUGAGUGCAGAAGAGGAAAGUGGAAUUCCAUGUGUAGCGGUGAAAUGAGCAGAGAUAUGGAGGAACACCAGUGGCGAAGGCGCCUUUCUGGUCUGUAACUGACGCUGAUGUGCGAAAGCGUGGGGAUCAAACAGG